rnacentral:rRNA from 1 species
CUACGGGCGGCAGCAGUGGGGAAUAUUGCACAAUGGGCGAAAGCCUGAUGCAGCAACGCCGCGUGAGUGAAGAAGGCCUUCGGGUCGUAAAACUCUUUUCUUGGGGAAGAAAUGAUGACGGUACCCAAGGAAUAAGCCCCGGCUAAUUACGUGCCAGCAGCCGCGGUAAUACGUAAGGGGCAAGCGUUAUCCGGAAUCACUGGGCGUAAAGGGUGCGUAGGUGGUCCUGUAAGUCAGAAGUGAAAGGCUACGGCGUAACCGUAGUAAGCUUUUGAAACUGUGGGACUUGAGUGCAGGAGAGGAAAGUGGAAUUCCUAGUGUAGCGGUGAAAUGCGUAGAUAUUAGGAGGAACACCAGUGGCGAAGGCGACUUUCUGGACUGUAACUGACACUGAGGCACGAAAGCGUGGGGAGCAAACAGGAUUAGAUACCCCAGUAGUC